AGGCUGCAACCCGCCUGCGUGAAGUUGGAAUCGCUAGUAAUCGCGGAUCAGCAUGCCGCGGUGAAUACGUUCCCGGGCCUUGUACACACCGCCCGUCACACCAUGAGAGUCGGGAACACCCGAAGUCCGUAGCCUAACCGCAAGGGGGCGCGGCCGAAGGUGGGUUCGAUAAUUGGGGUGAAGUCGUAACAAGGUAGC
rnacentral:rRNA from 1 species